AGGACGAACGCUGGCGGCGUGCUUAACACAUGCAAGUCGAGCGGAAAGGCCCUUCGGGGUACUCGAGCGGCGAACGGGUGAGUAACACGUGAGUAAUCUGCCCCUAGCUCUGGGAUAGCUCCGGGAAACCGGGAUUAAUACCAGAUACGACCACUUUAGACAUCUUCUGUGGUGGAAAGAACUUCGGCUAGGGAUGAACUCGCGGCCUAUCAGCUUGUUGGUGAGGUAACGGCUCACCAAGGCGACGACGGGUAGCCGGCCUGAGAGGGCGACCGGCCACACUGGGACUGAGACACGGCCCAGACUCCUACGGGAGGCAGCAGUGGGGAAUAUUGCGCAAUGGGCGAAAGCCUGACGCAGCGACGCCGCGUGGGGAUGGAAGGCCGUUCGGUUGUAACCCUUUCAGCAGGGACGAAGCGAAAGUGACGGUACCUGCAGAAGAGCGCCGGCUAACUACGUGCCAGCAGCCGC
rnacentral:rRNA from 1 species